ensembl:lncRNA
UUUCUCAGCAAAUAACCUAAAUUCAUAAUGGUCCUGGAGGUACCAAGUGGAAAAAAAAAUACGUAGUUUCCCUCCAUACGUGACAAAACUAUUCCAAAAUAGCCAAAUGGUCUAGAGAAACGGCUUUAUUCUUACCCAUCCUGCUUUGGAAAAGUUGACAAUGAGGGUGCAUUAAAAAUACCGAGUGGAGAGAGCUCUUGGAUCUGGCUUCUCAAGCUGGGAAACAUUAAAAGUUUUGAAACUCUGGGAUCCACGGCUAUUAAAGAAAUAUCUAAAUUCUAAAUAUUCCUCUCCCAGGGCUUCUUUGGUAUCCUGCCUAGUCAACAGCAGAAGGUUCUCAGAGAGACAAAUAAUAUGCACAACUUUUUUUAGUCCGCUUAUGAUAAUUAUCUCAAAUUAACAUCACAAGGCAGUGAAAAUUACAUUCCCCAAAGGCUUCCUACUGCAGGAAGUUACUCUGCUCCUUUCUGCACAGAACAGGACACUGUGGCUGAUCAUCUUAAUCCCAGUUGGAGUUCUGAAACCUGUUGCCUGCCUGGUUGCCUUUGACUAUGGGGUUGCACAGAGUCAGACACGACUGAAGUAACUUAGCAGCAGCAGCAGCAGCAGCACAUAAGGAAUGGGGACAGAAAAGCAUGAGAGGCAGUUUGAAACAUGGCCUUGGCACCAAUGCUUUCCAGACUUG